rnacentral:rRNA from 1 species
ACGAACGCUGGCGGCAGGCCUAACACAUGCAAGUCGAGCGCCCAGCAAUGGGAGCGGCGGACGGGUGAAUAACACGUGGGAAUAUGCCUUUCGGUACGGAAUAACGCAGGGAAACUUGCGCUAAUACCGUAUACGCCCUCAGGGGGAAAGAUUUAUCGCCGAAAGAUUAGCCCGCGUAGGAUUAGCUAGUUGGUGAGGUAACGGCCCACCAAGGCUACGAUCCUUAGCUGGUUUGAGAGAACGAUCAGCCACACUGGGACUGAGACACGGCCCAGACUCCUACGGGAGGCAGCAGUGGGGAAUCUUGGACAAUGGAGGAAACUCUGAUCCAGCCAUGCCGCGUGAGUGAUGAAGGCCUUCGGGUUGUAAAACUCUUUCGCGCGCGACGAUAAUGACGGUAGCGCGAGAAGAAGCUCCGGCUAACUUCGU